AACCGAUAGGAUUGAAUCGAAUAGACCUGACGUGUUUCGCCCGUUUCAGAUCUGUCGUUUGCGCUUUGACGCGCGGCUGGCGUUUCGGUCUUACGGGCGAUAUAGCGCCGAGAGGCACUCUACAGUGGUGCGAACUCUGCAUUGAGGACUCUCUUCGGAGAGUAACCAGUGUGAAGGGAGUGCUGUUUGUUUGGGUGUCGCGCGCACAAUGCGCUCUCUCGGUGCAAAAGUCGGUCAUCUAUUCGACCCGUCUUGAAACACGGACCAAGAAGUUUAUCAUGUAUGCGAGUCAAUGAGUGUUUGAAACUUAAAGGCGCAAUGAAAGUAAAGGUGCUUGCACCUGCUAUGCGAUCCAUGGCACCUCGGUGCUAAGGCGCAGCAUAGCCCCAUUCUGAUUGCUUGCAAUAGGGUGGAGGUCGAGCAUACAUGAUGAGACCCGAAAGAUGGUGAACUAUGCCUGAGCAGGAUGAAGCCAGAGGAAACUCUGGUGGAAGUCCGAAGCGGUUCUGACGUGCAAAUCGAUCGUCUGACUUAGGUAUAGGGGCGAAAGACUAAUCGAACCAUCUAGUAGUG
rnacentral:rRNA from 1 species